CCCCAGAGCAGUAUAUUCUGUAUACCAGGCUGGCUAUGUGUGCAUUGUUACCCCCAGAGCAGUAUAUUCUGUAUACCAGGCUGGCUAUGUGUGCAUUGUUACCCCAGAGCAGUAUAUUCUGUAUACUAGGCUGGCUAUGUGUGCAUUGUUACCCCCAGAGCAGUAUAUUCUGUAUACCAGGCUGGCUAUGUGUGCAUUGUUACCCCAGAGCAGUGUAUUCUGU
rnacentral:lncRNA from 1 species